AUGUCUUGUUACCCACAACAUAUGACCGAGCUGGUGUCCGCGAAGAUCCUCCUCCGGCUCCCCGUGAACUCGUUGCUGCGGUUCAGGUGUGUUUGCAAGGCAUGGCGCGACACCAUCGACAACGAUUUCUUCGUCCGCGCACACCUCCGCCUCCGCGCCGAGAGCACGUUCACGCUCAUCGCCCCACAUGUUAAGGCAGCAGAUGGCAGGAUCACCGCCGCUGGCUUGUAUAGGUGGGAGCAGGGCGCCAAGGCCGCCGACGAUGACGACAGGAACACCCCAUGGGAGCAUGCAGGACGCCGCCACCCUCGUACACCCCAUGCCCAUGGGCGCCGACUACUCCGUCCCUGGCACGACGAAUGUUUCCCACGACCUUGCGCACUGUGA
rnacentral:rRNA from 1 species